UGUAACGUCAAAACUGACGCUGAUUUGUUUUUAUUCGUGGGUAAACAACCACUAAGGUGGAAGACAUGUCAUCAGUAAUUGGAGAAAAAGAAGAAAAGCGUGUUGCAUGACUCGCAUUUCAUUAGUAGUGCACAGGUUCUUCAAGAAAUAAGAGUUGCCUGUACACGUUGUUGGAGAGUUGACAAGGCAUUGUACACUCUAGCUCCAAGAAAUAGCAGUACAGCUCUUUGAAAUGAAUACUUCUUGCAAGAAUAACAUUGUUUCUAAUCCCUGCAAUGCUAAAAGGGUGCCACCCCGAGGAAUUCAAAGCAGGUAUUUUAUUCCAAGCAUUGGAAUUUGCCAUGCAGGAUGACACGGACAAUUUAAUUGAAAAGGCUAGGGGUGUUUUCGCUUGCAAAGUAAGGAAUGGACCGGUGGUGCUGAAGGAUUCUGGGUUGUUGAUGCAAGAACAGGAAAAGGAAAAAUUGAAUAUUUUGGUAAAACUAAGCCAGAUCUCAUUUUUACCAUCAAUGAUGAGGAUGUCCCAGACUUGAUGACAGGAAAACUAGAUGCACAACGAGCAUUUUUCCAGGGAAAAAUCAAACUGCAAGGAAACAUGGGGUUGGCAAUGAGACUUCUUGAUGUGCAAAGAAGAGCUAAAGGGCGUAUUGAAGAAUUCAGGUCAAAACUGUGAUUCAGUGAGGAAAUUGUUGCCAAUAUGUACUCUUGCUAUUGUCUGUUGUUCUAAGAAACUUCCCUCAGGUGUUUGCCAGUCAUAAUUAUAAUGUUCUUUGUUGCUAUAAGAAGCUUUCUGAGUUGUUUAAUUUCAGGUUAUGGAAAUACGUAUGUUUACUUUUAUACAGUGGUUUCUUUUAUAUAUAUAUUUAAAUACAAAAUUGUUUCUUGAGGUACUUGACUAACAUAAUAUUUGUAAUAAAAGCAAUUUGUAAACAUUA